AACGCCGCCUACACCCAUCUAAUAAUCUCUCAGUAUGCGUUUGGAAAAAGAAAGAAAAGAAAAAGUUACACAGUUCAUCCAUCCAUUUCCAUAACUCAUCAACAUGUCUUUACUGCUACUACACAUAUAAAACCACUCCAUAUGCAUCUUCCUCUCACAUAUAAAACAACUAUCCCAUUUCAUUUUCAACAUCACUACCACCAUAAACAAAAUCACACAAACACUCCUUCAUAACAAUUUUUAUUUCACAAUCAUAACUCUUUGCAUCUUCCUCUCACAUAUAAAACAACUAUCCCAUUUCAUUUUCAACAUCACUACCACCAUAAACAAAAUCACACAAACACUCCUUCAUAACAAUUUUUAU
rnacentral:lncRNA from 1 species